rnacentral:rRNA from 1 species
CAGGACGAACGCUGGCGGCGUGCUUCAUACAUGCAAGUCGAACGAUAAGGCACCUUCGGGUGUACAUAAGUGGCGGACGGGUGAGUAAUAUGUAGAGAAUCUGCCCUAGAGAGUGGGACAACAGUUGGAAACGACUGCUAAUACCGCAUAUGAGCGUACCUGAAAUGGUAUUCUUGAAAACUCCGGUGCUCUGGGAUGAGUCUGCAUCUGAUUAGCUAGUUGGGGGUGUAAUGGACCACCAAGGCGACGAUCAGUAGCUGGUUUGAGAGGAUGAUCAGCCACAAUGGGACUGAGACACGGCCCAUACUCCUACGGGAGGCAGCAGUAGGGAAUUUUGCGCAAUGGGGGAAACCCUGAACCGCAGCAACGCCGCGUGACCGAUGAAGCCCUUCGGGGUGUAAAGGUCUGUCAGUGGGGACGAAUAUUGACGGUACCCACAGAGGAAGCAUCGGCUAACUCCGUGCCAGCCGCCGC